ensembl:lncRNA PVT1 Pvt1 oncogene
GGUGGCCUGGGAGGCUGCUAGCUCUGAGCGAUGAGUGGUGCCAAGGUGCCUGAAGGAGAGUUGCAGCUCAAACAGCAAGUGGUCCAGCUCUCAGACCACUUGAGGCCACCUGGCAUGUGGCGGCCAAGACCACAGUUGGGGCGGGGCCUUGAGUCUGAUUUUGAUUGGAUUCCUAGUUCGGCUCAUGCCUGACAGCACUUUCUCAGACAGGCUUCCCUGACCUCCUAAGAUUCCUGGGAACACCACCAUGGAGGGCCUGGCCUUUGGCGGUGGACAGUCUGUGGCUGGGUGGGAACGUCAGGAGUGGGGCCUGCCUCUUUGCUGGGAAUGCCGUGCACUCCCAGCCCACUUGCCCCAUGCCAGCACUCGAGGCAGGACUUCGCAGGUGAGCAGUAACGGAAAUCAGCCCCGUUUAUUCCUCCCAGCACCUGCCUUAUCCAACUCCCCACGCUGUGGCUGAGUCCCAGCCUGCUAUGGAAGCAUCACUGGACUCCCAUUGAACUCUGUGCAGAUUCGCUGUUCGUAGACAUGGUACCUGAUGGACACCAAGCUACGUACAGCUUCAAGGCCCCUUCUUUCUUUGCUAAUAAAAAAUAAAAAAUAAAAACAUAAUACACGU